rnacentral:lncRNA from 1 species
UCCAGCCAGUUGCUUCUUGUGACAGUCUCCAUUUCUUCCUCCCUACUGACAGUUCUUAUAAUGACUUUAAUCAUAGAGCCUGGCAUCGGAGCUGGGCUAUUGAACAGCAACAAACUCACUGGUCAAUGUCUGUGUCACUUUUCCGGGAGCAGGACUUUCUGAGCAUCAAGGAGCAAAUACUCCAAGCCUUCUGGAAAAGUGCUAAGUGCAUUAAGUCUCUGUCAAUCAUGUUUGUAACACACAGGCCAAAUUAUUAUUAUUUGGCUCAAGACAUUCCAUUGAAACUUAUUUGUGUGGUAGUCUCAUCUGUGUACCUCGUACAGCUAAUGAUGAUUGUUUAUGGAAAGGUGCCUGUCCAAUUAUUUUUGAAGGAACACAAGAAUGCAGAAUGACUGGAAGCAUCAGGUUUGUGCCAGAGAAUGCCUCAGAUUAGUAAACUAAGUCAUCUCAGAUCCAUUUUAAGAAAAGUUCAUUCUAAUGGGGCUCCUCAGAAAAUCACUGGAACCCUCUAGUUCAAAUACUGAAUGGAUACAGAAGAAUAGAAAGGAAGGAUUGGGAAAAAAUGAAAAAAAAAGAAAAAAAGCAGAAAAAUUUCUGCUUUCAUAUACAUUAGUUCUGUGUGUACUCAGAUACCUACUGAACAAUAAUAAAAACAAUUGCAACCACAAUAGUAGAAUAUUCAUCAUGUCUAUUCCACCACCUAUAUGUGUUCUGAAACUACCACUUCCAGUCAUUUGUGCCCUAUAUUUAGAACUUCCUAACAGUUACUAGGAUUCAUUCUCCCAUCCCUAUAUCCCGGCAAGGAUGAACCGUAAAAGGAGAUAUCAGAGUAUGUGUGAUUCAGGGAAGUAUUAUGAGACUAGAUCUAAUUUGUAGCUUCUCAUCAUUUUCUAAACGUCUGUGCUCAUAUUUGCCUAGCAAAUUUCUUACCCCAUCAUCUCUAAAAUCAUAAUUACUGUGACGUUAAAAAUGACAAAUUCAAGGACACUUCAGAUUUUAUAAAUAUAUAGAAAAAACCUAAGACUUGUAUUCAGUGGACUAAUGGGAAACACUUAGAACUAAGAAAUGGUUUGAACUGCAAACACAACCUUCUAGUCCCCAACCCUGUAUGUACUAAAUCUUUUAAGAAUUCUACAUCUUCUCAGUUGUGUUUUAACUUAUCUUGAUGUGCACAUAUCGCAAUUCGUGUCAAUAACAUGGUUUAUUUUCAAAAUAAUUUUCCAUCUUUGUAUUGAAUAUUAUCCAUUGCUUACUGUGAUUUACUACUCAAUAAAAAAGCUGAAUAAGAAAUUGUGAUUUU